rnacentral:rRNA from 1 species
UACGAAGGGGACUAGCGUUGUUCGGAUUUACUGGGCGUAAAGCGCGCGUAGGCGGAUAUUUAAGUCAGGGGGUGAAAUCCCAGGGCUCAACCCUGGAACUGCCUUUGAUACUGGAUGUCUGGAGAUCGGGAGAGGUUGGUGGAAUUCCGAGUGUAGAGGUGAAAUUCGUAGAUAUUCGGAGGAACACCAGAAGCGAAGGCGGCCAACUGGCCCGAUACUGACGCUGAGGCGCGAAAGCGUGGGGAGCAAACAGG